CCCCACCUACGGGGGGCAGCAGUGGGGGAUAUUGCACAAUGGGGGGAACCCUGAUGCAGCGACGCCGCGUGGGUGAAGGAGUAUUUCGGUAUGUAAAGCCCUAUCGGCAGGGAAGAAGAAAGACGGUACCUGACUAAGAAGCCCCGGCUAACUACGUGCCAGCAGCCGCGGUAAUACGGAGGGGGCGAGCGUUAAUCGGAAUUACUGGGCGUAAAGCGCUCGUAGGCGGGAUGUCAAAUCAAGGGUGAAAUCCCCGCGCUCAACGUGGGAACUGCCUUUGAAACUGGCAAACUGGAGUGUGUGAG
rnacentral:rRNA from 1 species